CUAGGAAUUGGAUUUGGCACAAUAUAAUUCCUGUUAGGCUCUUUCAAGUAGGCUGAAAUCUUCUCUUCAUUGAUGUGGAUAGGAAACCAGUCACCUAGGCUAUAAAAUAAUCUAGUUUAAGGUAUGUAGUGACAAUACACGGGGAAGGGAUUCUUCUACACAAUGCAUCUGUUAAGGGUUAGAGCUCAAAAAUGGAUAGGUUCUAUGUAAGAUAUGAAAUAUGUGAUAUGACCUUCUGGAUAAUUCUGACUCGAUUAAUGGGAGAAGAGAUCAGUACUUGUCUAUUAAAAUAUGGAGGAGAGAGAAAGAGAGAAGACUGUAGAGAGAGAGAGGGCGAGUUCGGAAGGAGAUCCAGUGCAGCUGUGCGCGAGCGAUGGCGUGAAAGACUUCAGUAGCUUGGAUGCUCGUACCAGUCGGUGGAAGAGAAGCUUCGAGGUGGAGUCGAAGACAUUCGAGAUCGAGCUUGAGAGGAAAAAAGGUAAAACGCAAAUCUUCAUCGAGGAAAGGAAGCGAGGGGUUUCGUCGUGGAUUAAGAUGGGGCCGGAGAGCUUAGGGUUUGUCGUGGAAGGUUUGGCCUUGUGUAUUGAGGACACACGGAAAGGUAGAUGGGUCAGAAAUUGGAGGGAGAGAGGGAGGCUCUUUUCGUUGUUACGGGAUGAGAAUAAAGGAGGAAGCUUCAUUCGGCUGGGUGUGGAGGAUGGGGAGCAAAAGAGGUUUAACAUCUUUAUCCCUAAAGGAAAAGAAGGGAAAGGGGGCUGGAGUGAGAUGUUGCAGAUACUUCAGGCGCUGAUCGACACCACGAAGAGGAAGGAGUAUCAGAAGGAGGAGAAGGUGAUGGUGGCGCCAUGUGAGGGGAGUAGCUACGCGCAAGUGGUGAAGGGACAGAAGCGUAUUGGUAGAUCAGUGGCUAGGGUAGAAGUGAACCACAAGGAAUUGUACCAAAACCUAAAAAGGUUGGAUCAGUGCAUUGUUGGAUCGUGGGAUCCGAGGUCGGCAAAGGGGGAGGACUUGAGGAGAUGGGGAAACCAAAUGGCUCGAUCGUGGGGGCUGAGGGGAAAUUUAGGUUUGGCCAAGCUGGAAAGGGGUAAGGUGUUGUUAGAAUUUGAGAGGCGUGAUGAAGCUGAAAAAGCCAUUAAAAUGGGAGAAAUUUGGGUAGGGAAGACAAUGUUAUGGUUGGAGAAGUGGAACCCUAGGACGGGGUGUCUGUUAGAAGGAGAAGAGAGAAGCGAGGCUUGGGUGAGGAUUGUGGGGCUCCCCAUCUCGCUGUGGAACCGGGAAAUCCUUAGAAAGAUUGGGGAGAAAUGCGGGGGAUUCUUGGCAAUGGAUUCUCAAACGGAGAGACUAGAAGAAUUGCAGUGGGCAAGAAUCUUGGUGAAAAUUUCCGGCGAGGAGCUCCCUAGUAGGCUGGAUAUUGGGGACGAGGGGGUGUUUUACUCGCUUACAUUAUGGUGGGAAGUGAGGCCGGUAAUGAGAAGGAUGCCGGCAGAAAGGAAAGAUACAAACAGCGGUGAUGCUGCAGGAGAGGUUGAGGGUGAAGUAGCAACACGCGCGGGCAAACGCGUGAUGGAGUUGGUGGAAGGCGUGAGGCCCGAGACCCACCUGCAGUCGGCUGAUGGGACAAGGGGGCAGAUAGAUGGGCCGGGGUCUGUUUGGGCCCUUUCCCGAGGACCAAAUGGACUGGGUCUGGGGGAUAAAGAAGGACUGCAUGGGAGGCUCUGCCAUGCUGGGCCUAAUCGUGGUCUGGGAUUGGAUGUUGGGCCCGAUGGGUUCGUGUCGCAGAAGGCUGGGCCAACUUCCAACGGGACUUCGUCUUCUGGAAGGCCUUUGGACUUAAAGGGCUUUGGGUUUAUGGAGGCCGUUAAAUCGGGUGGGCUAUAUGGGGGGAAUGAGUGUCAUGGCCCAUCUGGAGUAGCUUUGCCUCUCGUGUGGGAUGGCCUAAGUCAACUGAAGGAGGCAGACGCUGAAGAAGUUCCUUUUUGGGAAUAUGAAGGCAGGAGGAGACAAGCUGAAAUGGAGGCCUGUCUCGCGGAGAAAUCAAGAACCGACUGCGCCCUAAUCGAAGAAGCAUCGAGGUACGAGUGUGCUCCUAUCCCUUGUGGAUUAAUGGCAUCUGAAUUAUCCUCUUCUCCUCUCUUCUUUUUUGGUCGGUCCCCGUUGGGGGAUUUUUGCGACAAUUCUGGGGAGGAUAGGGUUACACAUCUGAGAGAUACCCCCCUGUGUAUGCUUAUCCCCUUGGGGCCCCCGGAAGAGGAAAAUGAGGGCCGGUUGUGGGAGGGCUCAAGUGUCUGUAAGGAGAGCAGCGGCAAGGUACUAAGACUAGUCNNNNNNNNNNNNNNNNNNNNNNNNNNNNNNNNNNNNNNNNNNNNNNNNNNNNNNNNNNNNNNNNNNNNNNNNNNNNNNNNNNNNNNNNNNNNNNNNNNNNGAGGAGAGUGAGUUGGCCAAAUUCAGUAAGUUCUUGGGCUUCUCUACAGAAGGUCUGGAGAAAGAAAUCUUGGAGUUUAUGAUUAAGAUUCGGAAGAGAAGGGAGAAGGUCCACAGCAAAAACAUGCUAGAGAAAUCCAGAUUUGAAAGGGAACUGAAAAGGCUGGAAUGCUCUAUUAAUUACGAGAAGGGGAAGAAGCAGAAGGGUGGAAUGAUAGUAGAAGGGGGUCACUUUAUGGUGGACAAAUGAAGCUUAGAAUCUUAAGCUGGAAUGUUCGGGGAGUUAACGACAGUGCAAAAAGAAAAGUGAUUAAGGCCAUGAUAAGGAGUCAAAGAGUGGAUAUGUUCUGUCUCCAGGAGACUAAGAUUCAAUCAAUGACAGAGGGGUUGGUGAGGAGCUUAGGCACUGGCAGGUUCCUUAAUUGGGGUACUGUGGAUGCCCAGGGGACUGCGGGAGGGAUUUUGAUCUGCUGGGAUAAGAGGACCUUGGAGUUAAUGGAAUUGGAAGUGGGGUGCUUUUCAAUUUCCUGUAGGAUGAGGAAUGUGGAAGAUGGAAGAGUCUGGAUGUUUACUGGGGUUUACGGGCCAUUUUCUAAAGAGGAGAGGGAGUGGAUGUGGGAGGAAUUAGGUGCAAUUCGUGGCAUUUGGGAGGAUCCAUGGUGUAUAGGGGGUGACUUCAAUGUCACGUUGUCACUGAGGGAAAGGAGUAAUCAGGGGAGACUAACGAGUGCAAUGAGAAGAUUUGCUCAAGUUGUUGAUGAACUAGAGCUAAUUGAUCUCCCAUUACAAGGAGGGAUGCUUACUUGGAGUGGGGGGAGGAACAAUCAGGCGUGGGCCAGAUUGGAUAGGUUUCUGGUGACUCAGGGAUGGCUUGAUCAUUUUAAUGAGGUCGUGCAAUGUAGGCUGCCAAGACCGACCUCAGAUCAUUUUCCUAUUGUGCUGAUGGGGGGAGGGAUAAGGAGAGGUCUGUCCCCGUUUCGGUUUGAAAACAUGUGGCUUAAAGUGGACGGAUUCUCGGAUCUUCUCAGGGGUUGGUGGCAAGAAAUUGAGGUUAGAGGGAGGGCCAGUGUCAGACUAGCUACUAAAAUGAAGGUGUUGAAGCAUAAGAUUAAAGUGUGGAACAGGGAGGUUUUUGGUAGGCUGGAAGUUAAUAAGAAUUCAGCCUUGCAACAAGUGGAGUUUUGGGACGGGGUGGAAAGGGAAAGGAGCUUGUCUGAAGGUGAAACUGAACUGAAAAAGGAAGCCAAGGAGUCCUUUAAAAAAUGGGUUUUAUUGGAGGAGACCCACUGGAGACAAUUGUCCAAGGAAUUGUGGCUUAAGGAGGGAGAUAGAAACACUGGAUUCUUCCAUAGAAUGGCUAAUGCGCAUAGAAGGAAUAAUUCUUUUGGAGAGAAUGAAAAUUUAUGGGGGUUUGGUUGACUGNNNNNNNNNNNNNNNNNNNNNNNNNNNNNNNNNNNNNNNNNNNNNNNNNNNNNNNNNNNNNNNNNNNNNNNNNNNNNNNNNNNNNNNNNNNNNNNNNNNNAGAGGAAAUCUACGCAGCCUUAAUGGGUAUGAAUGGGGAUAAAGCGCCGGGUCCGGAUGGGUUCACAAUUGCGUUUUGGCAAUCAAGUUGGGGGUUAGUGAAGGAGGAGAUUAUGGAUCUGUUUAGGGAAUUCUAUAACCAACGUUCGUUUGCUAACAGCCUUAACUCCACCUUUUUAGUCCUCAUUCCUAAGAAAGGAGGGGCUGAAGACUUGGGUGAUUUCCGGCCAAUCAGCUUGUUAGGAAGUUUGUACAAGCUAUUGGCUAAGGUGUUGGCGAAUAGGCUAAAGAAGGUGCUUGAUAAGGUGGUGUCAGGGGACCAAAACGCCUUUGUAAGAGGCAAACAGAUCCUGGACGCGUCUCUUAUUGCCAAUGAGGUGAUUGAUUUCUGGAACAAGAGAAAAGAGAAUGGGCUGAUUUGUAAACUAGACAUUGAGAAAGCCUAUGACAGCAUUAAUUGGAGAUUUCUCAUGAAAGUUAUGGUCAAAAUGGGUUUUGGGUCGCGGUGGUUGGAGUGGAUGUGGUGGUGCAUCUCUACCGCCAAAUUUUCAGUCAUGAUCAAUGGGGUGCCAGCUGGUUUUUUCUCGAAUUCUAAGGGGCUAAGACAAGGAGAUCCCAUCUCCCCAUAUCUCUUUGUGUUGGGGAUGGAAGUUCUUAGUAUUCUAAUUAGAAGAGCGGUUGAUGGGGGUUUCUUAUCAGGCUGCAACAUUAAGGGGAGAGGGGAAGAGGAGAUGAUAGUGUCCCACCUACUCUUUGCGGAUGACACAAUCAUCUUUUGUGAAGCUAAUAAAGAGCAAGUGUCCGCUCUAAGCUGGGUGUUGGCUUGGUUUGAGGCGGCUUCCGGCCUUAGAAUCAAUCUUGAUAAAAGUGUCCUCAUUCCGGUGGGUGAGGUGGAGAAUAUUGAGGAGCUGGCUGUGGAACUUGGCUGCAAAAUAGGAAUGCUGCCCACUGUGUACUUGGGGCUGCCCCUUGGUGCUCACCACAAAGCUGUUUCCAUUUGGGAUGGGGUGGAAGAGAGGAUGAGGAAGAGAUUAGCCCAAUGGAAAAGACAGUAUAUUUCAAAGGGAGGGCGUCUCACCUUAAUCAAGUGUACAAUGGCCAGCCUUCCCAUAUACAUUAUGUCCCUCUUUCGAAUGCCGAAGAGUGUUGUAAAAAGACUCGAAAAAAUACAAAGAGACUUCCUUUGGGGAGGGGGCAGCUUGGAGAGGAAGGUGCACUUAAUUAAGUGGGAGGUGGUGUGUACUAGCAAGGAAAAGGGUGGCCUUGGCAUGAGGAGGAUUGAAUCCUUAAACAAAGCGCUGUUGGGUAAAUGGGUUUGGAGAUUUGCUGUGGAAAAGGAUAAUCUUUGGAGGGUAAUGAUNNNNNNNNNNNNNNNNNNNNNNNNNNNNNNNNNNNNNNNNNNNNNNNNNNNNNNNNNNNNNNNNNNNNNNNNNNNNNNNNNNNNNNNNNNNNNNNNNNNNAAGGAAAUCAUGAAGGAAGCUAAUUGGUGUUGGGAGAAUAUCAAGUUCAAGGUAGGGAAAGGGACUAGAAUAAAAUUCUGGUUGGAUCAAUGGUGUGGGGAUGAGAGGUUGUCCCAUGCUUUUCCCUUGCUUUAUGAGAUGGCGGUCAACAAGAAUGCAACGGUUAAUGAGAUGUGGGACCAUAGCAGUGGUCCAGGUGGCUGGAAUCUCAGAUUUCAUAGAGACUUCAAUGAUUGGAAGCUGGAUUUGAUUAGAGGAUUGCUUAUUAGGCUCAGGGACGUCAAGCUCUCUUCAGAGGAGGACGGGGUGCUUUGGAAAGGGGGGGGGGGGGGCAUGGGAAGUAUGGGGUGAAGCAGGCCUAUAAUGGGCUGGUUGUUAUCAAUGCUUGCAACUUUCCGCAUAGAGGAGUUUGGGUGAACAAGGUCCCUACCAAAGUGGUUUUUUUUGCUUGGGAAGCUGCGUGGGGGAAAAUUCUUACCUUGGAUAGGCUUCAAAAACGGGGCUGGUAGUUCCCGAACCGUUGUUUUUUGUGUGUUUGUGAAGAGGAGAGUGUAAAUCACAUUCUUCUUCAUUGUACGGUGGUAAGGGCCUUAUGGGAUAUCGUUUUUGCCCUUGUGGGGGUUCAUUGGGUGUUCCCAGAGCUGGUGAAGGAGGCUUUAUUCAGUUGGAGGGGCCCCUUUGUGGGGAAAAAAAGGAAAAAAAUUUGGAAUUCUAUCCCGUUGUGUAUUUUUUGGACGGUAUGGAAGGAAAGAAAUAGGUUAGCGUUCAAGGGAGGGGUGUUAAAUAUACAGAAACUCAAAAAUUCUUUUGUUUGUACCUUGUGGAGUUGGGCUAGGGUGUAUAUUGGAGAGGAGUCCUCUUCACUCUUAGGUUUUUUUGAGUGGCUAGCGACCACUUAAGGGAGGGUAAGGGCCUUUGUUUUUGUGCUUUCGUUUUGAGGCAGAUUUGUAUACGUCCUGUAUGCUUGAUGGCCUUUGCCCUUUAAUAUAUUUGCGAUAUUUAUAAAAAAAAAAAAAAAAAUAUGUGAUAUGACCUUCUGAUCAAAAAAAUAUGUGAUAUGACCUGGUUAUAAUGGGGACCAAUUCUAUCAAAAAAUAAUAAUAAUAAUGGGGACCAAUUCUAUAAACACCAGAGUUCAUACUUAACCUAGAAG
rnacentral:lncRNA from 1 species